GGCAAAAAGAAAAGAAGGACAACGUCAGAAGUGAGAACAGGAGUGUGCAAACAAGGUUUAAGCUUAGAUGACUCCCAUGAGCUUUAGGUACACAAACAUAGUGGUGCCAUCAAAAGGAGUGUGGAUGCUGCUUUGAAAGCCUGGAAGCCGAAACCACUAAUUAGAAGCUACCUGAGCGGAAAUGAAAGCUGGUGUGCACAUUUGUGCUGG
ensembl:ncRNA W01C8.14 ncRNA